ensembl:lncRNA
CUCUGCCACACACACGCAACAAAUAGUUGGGUGAUUACUAACACGCUCCUUUCUUGUUGAUGCAUGAAUCCACCUGAGCAGCAAUGAGGGUGCAACAUGGAGCAACAUGGAGCGGCGAGGUCGAGUAUCUGUAAGCACUUAGGCAAAGAGCAUGGGGCGAGGCUCCUGUAUGGAAUGGUGUGGGAAGGACAUAAGCAAGGGACAGAGAAGCUUCCUUUGAGGACAUUUUCUAUCCCAGGUUUUCCAUUUGAGAGCCUAUUUUACCUAUCAUAGAAAUUCCCAUCAGCUCUACAGGCCCCCAAAGAACAAUCCUGCCUAUUGUGGUGGUGCAACUUCACGUGUUGCCAACCCCAACCUCAAAUAAAAGCAAAUCACAGAGGAUUCAGUAAGGCACCGACCAAAAGGCGCCAAGGAAAAAGGUGCCACUAUAUUCAUAAAGAAAUGUAUUGGGUAACUCUUAGCACUACAACCCACCAGGACAUGGUGCUAUACAACAUUUAUGGUGCUGGGUUUUCUCUUGACACAGAUUGAUAGAUAGUUUCAAGGUAUACUAUGAAACAUCUUUAUAAAACAUACAUUUUAUGUGUUCCUGUCAUGCAUAAAAAGCUGAGCUUGCAAUCCUCAGUUCUGCAGACAGGUUAGAAACACGUUACCUCUAAGGACAGCGAGUACCACCAUGCUCUUUUCCUAGCUGGUAAUUUGAGAACUGCAGUUUUGGACUGUCUCUCUCCCAAGAAGCACCCGUGCUGUAACUUCAGAGGCUCUGGUGUAACGCUGGGGAGGUGGGAGAGCUGUUACUAUCCCUAGAACGGAGGUUUGCAGCUUGGCGAGGCGGCACCUUGUGUCUCUGUGGGUGACAAGCUGAUCAAUGAACCUUAAAAAAGAUUCCAAGAGCGACUUUUUUAUAUAUUUAAACUUUCAUGAGCAGCUUGAGAACUUCGGAGGAUGAAGAAAUGAGCUCUCCACAUCACCCAGUGAGCUCCUGACACAAAACAACUUCCGCAGCUGUAUAAAGGGGUGGGUGAAUGGAGGUGAAUUAUGCAGAGCAGUGGAAUGUCAAGUGCUCAACUCCAGAGAGCUCCUGCACUUAGUCGGGCACCCUGAAGCACCCCGAGAAGCUUCCAUCAGGAAAGACUGCAUCCUGACAGCAGCAGCAGGAAGAACUCCAAAAGCAGUGCUCCACAGAAAGCCCAGUCAUGCUCAAAAUGAAUUUAUUCCUAAUGUUUCAAUGGCAUCGACUGAGGAUGAUUCAGCUCUCGGUACUCAAAGCAUGAAGAUGAGUUGUCUUGUUUUAUUUUCCAGUUAUGACACUGAUUGUUACACUGCCAAGGCUUGGGGAGUUCUAAUAUUCAAUGCCAAGUAUUUAUGGUGGCAAACCACAAUUUUAUACUAAAGAAUGCUGCCAAUUCACUUAAUAUGUUUGAACAACUUAUUACUAAGGUGACAUAAAUUUCUGGAGCUUAGACAGGAUAUUUUCCAUCGAAAAAGUAUUUGUUUCCCUUGAGAAUAUUGACAGCGACUGAUAUCGAGCCCUUUUCUCCUUGAAGAGAACAUGUGCUGUAUCAAUCUUAUUUUCAAUUCCUGGAUACUGGGAGCAAACAAUUUUAAUUUGGCUCCUGCAGCCUUCCGUCCCGUAACCUUGGCAUGACCAUGCCCCUCGGGGUGUAGCAGUGACUGUAUGUGCUGAGGCUGAGGGCACACUGGCAACAGCCCACUUCAUGUGAGCAGCACCACAGCCUGAGUAUUGCAACACUCCUCAAGGCGCCCAAUCCCAGGCACCCACAUCUCAGUACUUUGUCUCAUGCACCUUUGUCUGUUUAUGGUGGAUUAAACCACACAAUGACCACAGCCAGUGUCUGACGGGAUCCUAUAAGGAUGUAGGAGAGAGACUCUUCAUCACGGACUGUGACGAUAGGAGCAGGGGUGGUGGGUUUGAACUUAAAUCAGAAGAAGUUCAGGUUGGAUAUAAGGCAGAAGUUCUUCCCUGUGAAGGUGCUGAGGCGCUGGCACAGGGUGCCCAGAGAAGCUGUGGCUGCCCCAUCCCUGGCAGUGUUCAAGGCCAGGGUGGACACAGGGGCUUGGAGCAACCUGCUCUAGUGGAAGGUGUCCCUGCCCGUAGCAGGGGGUUGGAGCUGAGUGAUCUGUAAGUCCUUUCUCAAUGAUUCCACGUAUCUCUCAGUGCCUGCAGCUCAUCACCGCACAACUGCUUCACACCUCAGACCUUCCCCUGCCUUUCCUAACGGGACCCAGUGAGCACUGCCAGCUCUUCACCUUCCCCUUCCACCCGCACAGUCCUCCACGGAACCCGCGUGGGUUCCAUGUCCCUAAAGGUCCCUGCGCUUUCUUUUAACAACUAAUUAUUUCCCGGCCCUACGCUCCCGGCGCUCGGCUCUUCCCCUCACGGCGCCAGUCCCCGGCUCGGCCCCGCCGCCACCAUCACCUCCACACCGCGCCGCCGGCCGGAAGUGCCGCAUGACGCACGAGCACCA